AGCCUUUAUCUCCACUCUGCGGAGAUUCACGCCUGGAAAACGCUCUUCUGAGAGGAUCUGUGGAGGUCAACCCAGGAGAGAGAAGACAGGACUGAAGCACUGAAAGGGUCCUGCCGUUAAGGGCGCAGGAUUGUAUAGAAUAUAUAAUAGCAGUAGCAGCUCUGUUUACGGAGCAUUAACCUUACGUGGAGUUAUUUCCUGCAUUUCCUCCUUUCGUCUUUACAAGGUAGCCGUUUGGCGUCGUGAGUAUGUGCCAAAUCUACUAGACAUUGGAGAAACAGUAGGAACAACACAUGGUACCGGCACAUGGAUCUUUCAGGAAAACGAAGUAGGUAAUAAACAGGAAAAAGCCCGAGUCUGAUGCUAAGAAGAACAUAAACAGGAUGCUGAGCGGAAAGUGACCAGAAGAGGUGUGCAGUUUCCAGGCCUGGCCCAUACAGACCUCCAACAGGUGCUCCCCUGUGCUGUUACUCCUUCUGCCAACUGGAAGCAGAUGGUGACCAGGCUCUGGAGAAGGCAAGGCCUGAAGAUGGGAGAUUCCUAAGUGGAGGAGAACUGUGCCUUACUGACCUAAAUAUCCACUCAGUAUUGUUAUGUGAGAAUAAAUAAACUUGUGUUGACCGUUUA
rnacentral:lncRNA from 1 species